AACAUCGCGCACCUGCGGGAACCUGCGGAAGGAUCAUUACAGAGUUGCAAAACUCCCUAAACCAUUGUGAGCGUUACCUAAACCGUUGCUUCGGCGGGCGGCCCGGGUCCUUCCCGGCGCCCAUCGGCCCUCGCGGGCGCCCGCCGGAGGUAAACCAAACUAUUGCAUUGUAUGGCCUCUCUGAGUCUUCUGUACUGAAUAAGUCAAAACUUUCAGCAACGGAUCUCAGAUCGGAAGAGC
rnacentral:misc_RNA from 1 species